AUUGAACGCUGGCGGCAGGCCUAACACAUGCAAGUCGAACGGUAGCACAGAGAGCUUGCUCUCGGGUGACGAGUGGCGGACGGGUGAGUAACGUCUGGGAAACUGCCCGAUGGAGGGGGAUAACUACUGGAAACGGUAGCUAAUACCGCAUACCGUCGCAAGACCAAAGUGGGGGACCUUCGGGCCUCACACCAUCGGAUGUGCCCAGAUGGGAUUAGCUAGUAGGUGGGGUAAUGGAUCACCUAGGCGACGAUCCCUAGCUGGUCUGAGAGGAUGACCAGCCACACUGGAACUGAGACACGGUCCAGACUCCGACGGGAGGCAGCAGUGGGGAAUAUUGCACAAGGGGCGCAAGCCUGAUGCAGCCAUGCCGCGUGUAUGAAGAAGGCCUUCGGGUUGUAAAGUACUUUCAGCGGGGAGGAAGGCGGUGAAGUUAAUAGCUUCACCGAUUGACGUUACCCGCAGAAGAAGCACCGGUUAACUCCGUGCCAGCAGCCGCCGUAA
rnacentral:rRNA from 1 species